rnacentral:lncRNA from 1 species
AGAUUAUCAGUCAGGCAGAAAUGUUAACAUCCAUUUUCCCAUCAUUGUGAGGCCCUUUGUUAAUGCAGUUUUUUUCCUUGCAGAAAAGGCACAAUGCCCAGCAUUAUGGGGACAUUUUAUGCAAAUGGCAGUUAGACUGUGUGAAACUGCUCUGUGUCAGUCACUGCAGCCCAGGCAAAUGCCUCUGAUGGAAGGAUUUUCAUCCCAGUGCAAUGUCACCUCACAUGGCCCUUGGACGUUAAAGGGUUGACGCCGCAUGCCUCCUCUCCCAAGUGAAAUGAUCAAGCUUUGAACAAGCUGAGCUCUCAGUGGUGGACCAGGAGGGAUCUGAGUUCCCGGAGGUCUGUCUGCUGUCCUGGCACCUUGGCUUCUGCUGCAGCGUAGGUGGAUACACCUGGUCAUGGGCAUCAUUAUGCCACGGCAUAAGCUGCUGCUGUCUGUGGUCCCGCCACAGUUUCUGGUCUCACGUUCCAUCUACUCUGCAUUCUCCUCAACUCUACUCCACUGGGACUUCCAUGCUCAGCCACAUCCUGGCAGACGGGGGACCCUCAUCUGCCACAUAUCAUGCUGAGGGGUUGCUCUCAGGCCCACCCACCUACUCACCACACCUCCAAAUGUUGCCCAGACAUUGCACAAAUAUACACAUAGAACUUCUCUAUAAGGCUUCUAGAGUCUCCAGCUAACUCCCACUAAGCCAAGCAGUGGUCCCUUCUGUCUGGAAUCCCUUAACUUUUCUGGGGUUCCAAUGCUCCCCCACAAGCCAGUGGAGUACAGGGAAGCCACUUCUCAGGCCAUCUCCAGCUAUUUAACUCCAGCCAUUUUCCUUCCAUCCUCCUGUUGGGCCAGCUGUGAAGCUUCCAUGGCCAUUCCCAGUGAGGAGGAUGCUGAUCUUUGGAGCUGGGAGAAGAUAUACUCAUAGUUUUUAAUCCUUUUAUCAUUUAAAAAUAUUUAAAAUGACUAACUAUGAAAUCCACUCAAGAAUCUAGAACUGAAACAACUACAUAAACUGAAAGUAAGUUGGAAAUAGGCAUUAGUUAAAAAAAAAAAAAAGUGAUCAAUAUGUUCACGACUGAUUCUCCUAUUCCUCUCAAAUCCUAUUUCUUAGCCCCGGAGGCCCUCAUCCUUCCUCUUCUAGAAAGUCAUGUCUCUGUUGGCAUCUCAUCCAUGGCAACAAAACUGUCAAAGGGUCUGAGAUUUUACUCUCCUUGAAGCUAACAAGUUAACUUUUGACAAUUUCAUAGAUUUUGACAGAAGACAUGAAACUCCUGGGUCAGAGACAAAGUAUGUUAUUACAGCAAUAGCAGUAGCUAGAGCACUAGCAUUUGCUUGCAUUGAUUCUUCAAGUCUCACAUCCCAGAGAGAUAUGAGGACCUGGUGUCUCCUUCACAUGCAGUGGAUUGAGUUACAGGAGAGAAACCCGGAGCUUGGAGGAUCCAAAUCUUUUAUAGUGGGCAGUAGGCAUGCCUGCCCUUCAUUCUGUAGGGAGACAUCAUCUCUAUCUUCCAGGACUGUUUGCUAUACAAACAUCCUGGAAAAGUUAGUCUAGUACAAAUGCAGGCAGUGCCUCUGCUCCUAAGGUCUACAGAAAUGCAAGAAACCAACAGAAAAUUUUCUCCCAGCAGGGGAGGUUCUCUCUAGUCUUCACAGAAGCUUCUAUAGAAUGUUUACAAUUACAUUGUUUUCUCAUUUCACUAAGAACUUGGGAGAGAAAAAGAGCCAAUUGUGUACGUUUGGAACAUCAUUUUUGUCCCUGAAAUUUGCCUGAACUUUGUUAUAAUGAACAUAUUUUACUCUCAUAACAGAAAAAAUAAACUUAAUUUAUUUUUCA